GGCAGUCAAUCGCUUCUCUUCAAUCAGAUUCAACGGUCAUAACGACUUUGAAUCCAUUCAGCAUCAGUGAACUUGGGGUUUGAGGGUGUCAUUUUUUAUUUUAUUUUUAUUUUUAUUUUGAUCUUGAUUUUGAUUUUGAUUUUGAUUUUGUUUUUCACCCUUUUUUUUUACAUUGAAAUGCCCCAGUUUGACUGUUCUGCCGAUUCUCAAGAUACAAUUGAAUGAUCUUCUUUUUGUACUCAAGAAGACGGGUAAUCUCGUCAGGAAUCCCCUUCAACAUCAUCUUCCUCUGCCUCGAAUACAGGGAAUUCAAAAUUGGGAGAUGGCGUUGG
rnacentral:lncRNA from 1 species